rnacentral:rRNA from 1 species
ACGCUUGAAGUCAGUCGCGUUGGCUAGAAAUCAGCCUUGCUCUUGCUUGGUGUACUUUCUGGUUGAUGGGUCAGCAUCAAUUUUGACCAUUGGAUAAAGGUCAUUGGGAAUAUUCCCUGUGUCGUAAUACAGUGGUUGGGAUUGAGGAAUUCAGCACGCCGCAAGGCAGGGUUUCGACCACAUUCGUGCUUAGGAUGCUGGCAUAAUGGCUUUAAUCGACCCGUCUUGAAACACGGACCAAGGAGUC